GCCUCAGUAACGGCGAGUGAAGCGGCAACAGCUCAAAUUUGAAAUCUGGCUCUUUCAGGGUCCGAGUUGUAAUUUGUAGAGGGUGCUUUGGCGUUGGCCGUGGUCUAAGUUCCUUGGAACAGGACGUCACAGAGGGUGAGAAUCCCGUACGUGGCCGCCGGUCUUCACCGUGUAAAGCCCCUUCGACGAGUCGAGUUGUUUGGGAAUGCAGCUCUAAAUGGGAGAUACAUUUCUUCUAAAGCUAAAUAUUGGCCAGAGACCGAUAGCGCACAAGUAGAGUGAUCGAAAGAUGAAAAGCACUUUGGAAAGAGAGUCAAAAAGCACGUGAAAUUGUUGAAAGGGAAGCGCUUGCAGCCAGACGUGCCCGCAGUUGCUCACCUAGGCUCUCGCCUGGGGCAUUCUUCUGCGGGCAGGCCAGCAUCAGUCCGGGCGGUUGGAUAAAGGCCUCUAUCACGUACCACCCUUCGGGGUGUCCUUAUAGGGGAGGCGCAACACGGCCAGCCUGGACUGAGGACCGCGCAUCAGCUAGGAUGCUGGCGUAAUGGCUGUAAGCGGCCCGUCUUGAAACACGGACCAAGGAGUCUAACAUCUAUGCGAGUGUUUGGGUGUCAAGCCCGGGCGCGCAAUGAAAGUGAACGGAGGUGGGAACCCCUCGGGGUGCACCAUCGACCGAUCCUGAAGUCUUCGGAUGGAUUUGAGUAAGAGCAUAGCUGUUGGGACCCGAAAGAUGGUGAACUAUGCCUGAAUAGGGUGAAGCCAGGGGAAACCCUGGUGGAGGCUCGCAGCGGUUCUGACGUGCAAAUCGAUCGUCAAAUUUGGGCAUAGGGGCGAAAGACU
rnacentral:rRNA from 1 species